AGAGUUUGAUCCUGGCUCAGGAUGGACGCUGGCGGCGUGCUUAACACAUGCAAGUCGAACGAAGCACUCUAUUUGAUUUCCUUCGGGAUUGAUUAUUUUGUGACUGAGUGGCGGACGGGUGAGUAACGCGUGGGUAACCUGCCUUGUACAGGGGGAUAACAGUUGGAAACGGCUGCUAAUACCGCAUAAGCGCACAGUACCGCAUGGUAUAGUGUGAAAAACUCCGGUGGUAUAAGAUGGACCCGCGUUUGAUUAGCUAGUUGGUGGGGUAACGGCCUACCAAGGCGACGAUCAAUAGCCGACCUGAGAGGGUGACCGGCCACAUUGGGACUGAGACACGGCCCAAACUCCUACGGGAGGCAGCAGUGGGGAAUAUUGCACAAUGGGCGAAAGCCUGAUGCAGCGACGCCGCGUGAGCGAAGAAGUAUUUCGGUAUGUAAAGCUCUAUCAGCAGGGAAGAUAAUGACGGUACCUGACUAAGAAGCACCGGCUAAAUACGUGCCAGCAGCCGCGGUAAUACGUAUGGUGCAAGCGUUAUCCGGAUUUACUGGGUGUAAAGGGAGCGCAGGCGGUGCGGCAAGUCUGAUGUGAAAGCCCGGGGCUCAACCCCGGUACUGCAUUGGAAACUGUCGUACUAGAGUGUCGGAGGGGUAAGCGGAAUUCCUAGUGUAGCGGUGAAAUGCGUAGAUAUCGGGAGGAACACCAGUGGCGAAGGCGGCCUACUGGGCACCAACUGACGCUGAGGCUCGAAAGUGUGGGUAGCAAACAGGAUUAGAUACCCUGGUAGUCCACACCGUAAACGAUGAUUACUAGGUGUUGGAGGAUUGACCCCUUCAGUGCCGCAGUUAACACAAUAAGUAAUCCACCUGGGGAGUACGACCGCAAGGUUGAAACUCAAAGGAAUUGACGGGGGCCCGCACAAGCAGUGGAGUAUGUGGUUUAAUUCGACGCAACGCGAAGAACCUUACCAAGUCUUGACAUCCUGCGACGCACAUAGAAAUAUGUGUUUCCUUCGGGACGCAGAGACAGGUGGUGCAUGGUUGUCGUCAGCUCGUGUCGUGAGAUGUUGGGUUAAGUCCCGCAACGAGCGCAACCCUUACUGUCAGUUACUACGCAAGAGGACUCUGGCAGGACUGCCGUUGACAAAACGGAGGAAGGUGGGGAUGACGUCAAAUCAUCAUGCCCUUUAUGACUUGGGCUACACACGUACUACAAUGGCGUUAAACAAAGAGAAGCAAGACUGCGAGGUGGAGCAAAACUCAGAAACAACGUCCCAGUUCGGACUGCAGGCUGCAACUCGCCUGCACGAAGUCGGAAUUGCUAGUAAUCGUGGAUCAGCAUGCCACGGUGAAUACGUUCCCGGGCCUUGUACACACCGCCCGUCACACCAUGAGAGCCGGGGGGACCCGAAGUCGGUAGUCUAACCGCAAGGAGGACGCCGCCGAAGGUAAAACUGGUGAUUGGGGUGAAGUCGUAACAAGGUA
rnacentral:rRNA from 1 species